rnacentral:rRNA from 1 species
UGAGGAAUAUUGGUCAAUGGGCGGGAGCCUGAACCAGCCAAGUAGCGUGCAGGAUGACGGCCCUAUGGGUUGUAAACUGCUUUUAUGCGGGAAUAAAGUGCUCCACGCGUGGGGCAUUGCAUGUACCGCCUGAAUAAGGACCGGCUAAUUCCGUGCCAGCAGCCGCGGUAAUACGGAAGGUCCGGGCGUUAUCCGGAUUUAUUGGGUUUAAAGGGAGCGUAGGCCGUCUGGUAAGCGUGCUGUGAAAUGUACCGGCUCAACCGGUGACGUGCAGCGCGAACUGUCGGACUUGAGUUUGCGGUAAGCAGGCGGAAUUCGUGGUGUAGCGGUGAAAUGCUUAGAUAUCACGAAGAACCCCGAUUGCGAAGGCAGCCUGCUGUAGCACGACUGACGCUGAAGCUCGAAGGUGCGGGUAUCGAACAGG